rnacentral:tRNA from 1 species
GAGCCUGUAGCUCAGCUUGGACAGAGCAUUCGGCUUCUAACCGAAUUGUCAAGGGUUCGAAUCCCUUCAGGCUCG